UACGUAGGGGGCUAGCGUUGUCCGGAAUCAUUGGGCGUAAAGCGCGUGUAGGCGGUUCGGUAAGUCCGCUGUGAAAGUCGGGGGCUCAACCCUCGAACGCCGGUGGAUACUGUCGGGCUAGAGUGCGGAAGAGGCGAGUGGAAUUCCUGGUGUAGCGGUGAAAUGCGCAGAUAUCAGGAGGAACACCAAUUGCGAAGGCAGCUCGCUGGGACGCUACUGACGCUGAGACGCGAAAGCGUGGGGAGCAAACAGG
rnacentral:rRNA from 1 species